GGAGAGGGCUAGCGUUAUUCGGAAUUAUUGGGCGUAAAGAGCUCGUAGGCGGUUUGUCGCGUCUGCUGUGAAAUCCCGAGGCUCAACCUCGGGCCUGCAGUGGGUACGGGCAGACUAGAGUGCGGUAGGGGAGAUUGGAAUUCCUGGUGUAGCGGUGGAAUGCGCAGAUAUCAGGAGGAACACCGAUGGCGAAGGCAGAUCUCUGGGCCGUAACUGACGCUGAGGAGCGAAAGGGUGGGGAGCAAACAGGCUUAGAUACCCUGGUAGUCCACGCUGUAAACGAUGAAUGUUAAAUAUGGGGAGUUUACUUUCUGUAUUACAGCUAACGCGUUAAACAUUCCGCCUGGGGACUACGGUCGCAAGAUUAAAACUCAAAGGAAUUGACGGGGACCCGCACAAGCGGUGGAGCAUGUGGUUUAAUUCGAUGCAACGCGAAAAACCUUACCACUCCUUGACAUGGAAAUUAUACCUAUUCGAAGGGAUAGGGUCGGUUCGGCCGGGUUUCACACAGGUGU
rnacentral:rRNA from 1 species